ACAGCCAUACCAUGCUGAAUAUACCGGUUCUCGUUAGAUCACCGAAGUCAAGGUUCAUUGGGCGCGGUCAGUACUUGGGUGGGUGACCACCUGGGAACACCGCGUGCCGUU